ACGCCCGACCUCAACUAUGUAAUCCUGCAAACUAGGCAUUUUUAAAACGAAGAGCCCAGGGGAAAACAUUUGAAACACGUUAGAGUGAGUGGACAAAAAUAAAUUUACGAAUAAAAUAUUUAUGUUUCCCCAAAUCAAUUUCCAAGGAAAAUCAAAUGCAUGCUGCAAGCGAUAAAACUUUUAACUCAUAAAUAUCGAGCCUCUCAGGCUCUAUAAUAUAUGUAUGUAUUUACACACGUACAUACUCCCUAUAUAAAUUCAUGGGUCUAUGUAGGGCUACUACGCUCGCGUCCAACGCUCACGUCACGCCUUAAUGCGGUGCUACACUACGCCAUUAAGGAGGACAGACGAGUGUAUAAAUAUGUGUCCAUACCCCCUAUAUGAAUUAAACACUCAUAUAGGGCUACUACGCUCGCGUCCAACGCUCACGUCACACCAUAAUGCGGCUAUAUGCUACGCCAUUAAGCUGGACAGACACAUAUGGCUAGCUAGCUUUUAUAUACAUACUCUCCUCAAUAUACAUAUUUAUACUCACCGAAAAAUCCCAUUUUUCGGUAAUUCUCCAAGAGAAUAAAAUCGUUAAAAUUAAAAUGACGUCAAAAUGCUCCACAACAUUAAUUGUUCAUUCAUGAACCAUAGCAUGCAUAUUAUUUAAAACAAAAGUCCACUCACAACUCUAGGCAUAAGCCCGACGAAAUCCAAAUCGCCACUCCAGUGAGGUUUCCUCGAACCCUGGCACAAAUAUAUAAUUAAAUUCCCAACUAAAAAAAUCCAAUAUUUAAACAAAAUAGGCAAAAUUAACCGAGACCCAUACUCGCUCAUCAUUGCCUAACUUCGAUUCGGUUUACACCUCAACAAUAAAACCAGCAGCCUAAACUACACCCUUCCAUAGAUUAUACGACUUUAAUCCAACGGCCGGAUUCUACCUUAUUAAUCCGCCAAAAUUACCAAACUUCGGAAAAUCACAAACCUAUCCAAAACUCAUCCAAAAAUUCCAUAAUUCAUACCAAUAAACUCCCCUUAAUAUAACACACUUAAAACCAUGAAAAACCCCUUAACAGUGGCGGCGCCGCCGGCUGCUCUGCCAGCAGCGGCGGUCGGAGGCCGACUCCAGCGACCUCCAAUGCCUACCAAAUUUCAACAGCAGCUUCCUCUCAACCCCCUCUACAACUUUCCUAACUAGCACAAACACCAAAUCUAAGUCUAACUAGGUCAAUCGAACAAAAACACCUAAAGAGCCCUAGGAUUUCAACUUCGAAUUUCUCCUUACCUAGCUCAAGAGGGAGUGAGCCCUUUGGAGGGGUUGCUGCACGGGAGGAGGGCUACAAAACGAGCCAAGGAUCGCCGGCUUUGGUGGCCGGAGGAGGGAGUUGCUGCGACGGAGGGCUUAACGCAGUCGGACCUCUCGGGCCUGAUAUCUUCCUCACGACGGCGCUAGGGGGGCUGUCACCGGUCCAGGGAGAUGGCUGGGUUGAUGGCCGACCGAACGAGACCGGUGCGGCAGUCUCAGGCGGCCGGACGGAGAAGCUCGGGGGAAGAGGGAGAGAGAAGAGAAAGAGGAGGAAAAAGAGAAGGAAGAAAAAAAUUGGGCCUCUCCUCUAACCCGGUCCAACACUUUAAACAAAACCCCAACUCCAAAAAAAAAAUAACACCCCAAAAUAAUACCCAAAUAAAAAUUACCUUUUACUAGCUAAAAUUUACCAUUUUUACUGUCGUCAAAUUUUUCUCCUACGAAUAAUUCUCCGAAAAUAACCGUCCCCCAAACCCCUCUAGGGACCAAUUAACCUAUUACCUCAAUGACGAAGACGGUAAAAUUCUUAUUAUAAACAAGCUAGUAAAUAAGGUAAAAAUUUAAGGGUCGGGAUGUGACAGACUCGGCGAGGAGACGAACAACGGCGAGCAGACUGCAUAGGUGUUUUGACCGUGGAAGUGAAAACGAAGAUGAGCGCUGGGUUUUUUAGGGUUUAGGGGGGCGCUGUGGAGGUUGUCGAGCGCUGGGUUUAAUUAUAUACCUUAUAACUUUAGCCGACGAAAUUUUUACUUCGUUCGUCGGCUAACCUUUGAAAUUCGUCGGCUAACAUUUGAAAUUCAUCGACUAAUCUUUAAAAUUCGUCGGCUAACCUUUGAAAUUCGUCGGCUAAACCUGUGAAUCUCGUUUAGCUAAAGUAAUGAAAUUCGUCAGCUAUAGUACUUUUUAUUUAAUAUUUUCAAUUUAUUUGUUUUAUUUAUUUUAUUAGCUAUAGACGACGAAUUUUCAAUAAUGUCGUCGGCUAUAGUACUUUUUAUACAUUCGGCACAUUGUGAUUGUGAUGAUCAAACUUGAGAAACGAAAAUCCGACCGUCAGAUCUGACCAUCAUGAUAAAAUACAUGUAUUGGAAAAAAUUCAACUUGAUCCGACAAGGUUAAAGGCUCGAUCCGAAUGGUCAAUCCCGUAAGUCAUACCUCUAAACGCACGGAAAAGGUCAUUGGACCAU
rnacentral:lncRNA from 1 species